AUGCCACCCAGCCCCCCUCGUGGCCCCAGGACCUCUCCCGACCCUGCACCACCGGGGGCGGGCUCCCGCAGGCGCUGGAAGGACCCCAGCCUCGCAGACCCCCCGGCCUCCCCGUGGGCCGCGGGGAGCAGCCUCAGGAGCACACUAGGCGGGGAGCAGGGACCCAGGGGUGGGGCCGGGCUGGCCCUGGGGGAGACCUGGGCAGGCUGCCUCGCCGAUGGGGACCCGCCACCGCCUGGGGUCCCGGGAGCAGGGACGGGGGCCGGUAGAGCAGGGCUGCGCCCGAGGGCGGCCACCGGGCAGCCCCGAGCCAGGGAGGCGGGCGUCCCGGGCCGGCGUCGCCUGCGUGGGCAGGUGCUGCGGGGGAACCAACCUGCGGGCCCGAGGCCCCAGGGCGCUGCGGGACCCACGGAGGGCCUGGCGGCGCCAGGCAGGGGCGCUGGGCCAGGGUCGCGCCCCGCGGACCCCUCCUGCCGUCGGGACCGCGGCCCCUCCCCGGGGCGUGUGGUGGGCGGGGCUACGGGUUGUGGGCGGGGCCCGGCCCCGGGGCCUGUGGUGGGCGGGUUUGUGGGCGGGGCCCCAGCGGGCUCCCGGGGCGUGUCGUGGGCGGGGCUACGGGUUGUGGGCGGGGCCCCGGCCCGAGGCCUGUGGAGGGCGGGUUUGUGGGCGGGGCUCCAGCGGGCUCCCGGGGCGUGUGGUGGGCGGGGCUACGGGUUGUGGGCGGGGCCCGCCCCCGGGGCCUGUGGUGGGCGGGUUUGUGGGCGGGGCUCCAGCGGUCUGUGGGGCGGGCGGCGGGCGGGGCCCCGGCCCCGGGGCCUGUGGUGGGCGGGGCUCCAGCGGGCUCCCGGGGCGUGUCGUGGGCGGGGCUACGGGUUGUGGGCGGGGCCCCGGCCCGAGCCCUGUGGUGGGCGGGUUUGUGGGCGGGGCUCCAGCGGGCUCCCGGGGCGUGUCGUGGGCGGGGCUACGGGGUUGUGGGCGGGGCUCCAGCGGUCUGUAGGGCGGGCGGCGGGCGGGGCCCCAGCCCCGGGGCCUGUGGUGGGCGGGGCUCCAGCGGGCUCCCGGGGCGUGUCGUGGGCGGGGCUACGGGGUUGUGGGCGGGGCCCCGACCCCGGGCGUACGGUGGGCGGGGCUCCCCGGGGCGUGUCGUGGGCGGGGCUACAGCGGGCUCCCGGGGCGUGUCGUGGGCGGGGCUCCCUCAGCCUGUUUCCCCCCCCCCCCAAUGGGGCGCGGCUGCUCCGGCGCGCUCAGCCUCCCGGCCUGGCGGUGACUCACCGCCGGGUGGGGUCGGUGCGUAAACACCCCGCGGGGGGAGUGGGGGUGCUGAAGUCCUGCUCCUGCGACUCCGCGUCGUCCCCAGGGCCCCGCGACCCGAGGUCCUGCCAGCCUGUGCUCCCAGCCUCCAGGCCCAGGUCCAGGGAGCAGUUCCCGAAGCCCCUGCCCUUGCAGCCCCUCGCCCCCCUCCCCCCUGAGCUGAGCCCUUCGAGCCCGAGGGGCCCUGGUGUCCCCUCCUAG
rnacentral:lncRNA from 1 species